AUUGAACGCUGGCGGCAUGCCUUACACAUGCAAGUCGAACGGCAGCACGGGUGCUUGCACCUGGUGGCGAGUGGCGAACGGGUGAGUAAUACAUCGGAACGUACCUUAUCGUGGGGGAUAACGCAGCGAAAGCUGUGCUAAUACCGCAUACGCCCUGAGGGGGAAAGCGGGGGAUCGCAAGACCUCGCGCGAUUAGAGCGGCCGAUGCCUGAUUAGCUAGUUGGUGGGGUAAAAGACCAACAAGGCGACGAUCAGGAGCUGGUCUGAGAGGACGAUCAGCCACACUGGGACUGGGACACGGCCCAGACUCCUACGGGAGGCAGCAGUGGGGAAUUUUGGACAAUGGGGGCAACCCUGAUCCAGCAAUGCCGCGUGAGUGAAGAAGGCCUUCGGGUUGUAAAGCUCUUUUGUCAGGGAAGAAACACCGGCUCUAACACAGUCCGGGAAUGACGGUACCUGAAGAAUAAGCACCGGCUAACUACGUGCCAGCCGCCGCAGUAACAC
rnacentral:rRNA from 1 species